rnacentral:rRNA from 1 species
UACAGAGGUCUCAAGCGUUGUUCGGAUUCAUUGGGCGUAAAGGGUGCGUAGGUGGCGCCAUAAGUCAGGUGUGAAAUCUCGGGGCUCAACCCCGAAACUGCAUUUGAUACUGUGGUGCUCGAGUACUGGAGAGGAGAUUGGAAUUUACGGUGUAGCAGUGAAAUGCGUAGAUAUCGUAAGGAAGACCAGUGGCGAAGGCGAAUCUCUGGACAGUUACUGACACUGAGGCACGAAGGCCAGGGGAGCAAACGGGGAUUAGAAAACCCUAGU